rnacentral:lncRNA from 1 species
UGCCUUCUCAACCAAAGCGGGAAACUCCUUAAUCUCCAAAGGCACAAUCAUCUUCAUCAAUUCAUAUCUUAGCCAUCGUUCGAAUCUCCGACAUCUCCACUCUUCAGACAUAUUUUGUGUGUAGAAACGGGCUAAGUACUCGAAUCUAUUAACAUAACCUUGCACCGUCAUUUCCUUUUGCUGUAGUGUUAAGAAUUCAGUCUCCCUCUCAAUCCUGGCAUUGUUCGGAAAAUACUUUUCCAAAAACCUGGUCUUGAAACUAUCCCAAGAGAUGGUUUCGCCACGAGCUCUCAUCAAUUGUUGCAUUCCGUCCC